rnacentral:rRNA from 1 species
CCUACGGGAGGCUGCAGUGAGGAAUAUUGGUCAAUGGGCGAGAGCCUGAACCAGCCAAGUCGCGUGAAGGAUGAAGGAUCUAUGGGUUGUAAACUUCUUUUAUAUGGGAAUAAAGUGAGGAACGUGUGCCUUUUUGUAUGUACCAUAUGAAUAAGCAUCGGCUAACUCCGUGCCAGCAGCCGCGGUAAUACGGAGGAUGCGAGCGUUAUCCGGAUUUAUUGGGUUUAAAGGGUGCGUAGGUGGGUACUUAAGUCAGCGGUGAAAGUUUGUGGCUCAACCAUAAAAUUGCCGUUGAAACUGGUUGUCUUGAGUAUAUUUGAGGUAGGCGGCAUGCGUGGUGUAGCGGUGAAAUGCAUAGAUAUCACGCAGAACUCCGAUUGCGAAGGCAGCUUACUAAACUCUAACUGACACUGACGCACGAACGCGUGGGGAUCAAACAGGAUUAGAUACCCGGGUAGUC